rnacentral:ncRNA from 1 species
UUGGGUUCGAUUUUAGAUCGAACUUAAAAAGAGGGGGAGGAAGGAGGGGAAGACGUCAAGUCAGCACGGCCCUUAUACCUUGGGCUACACACACACUACAAUGGCGAAGAACAAUGGGUUGCAAGCAUGCAAGUGCAAGCUAAUCCCUGAAAUUUCGCCUCAGUUCAGAUUGGGGUCUGAAACCCGACCCCAUGAAGUCGGAAUCGGUAGUAAUCGCGGAUCAGCAUGCCGCGGUGAAUUCGUUCUCGGGUCUUGUACACACCGCCCGUCAAGGCAGCAAAGUCGGUAGCUAUCGAACCCCCUCUUUU